GAGAGUCGCAGAUACCAGGUGGCUGCAACUGUUUAUUAAAAACACAGCACUGUGCAAAAUCGUAAGAUGACGUAUACGGUGUGACGCCUGCCCGGUGCCGGAAGGUUAAUUGAUGGGGUUAGACUUCGGUCGAAGCUCUUGAUCGAAGCCCCGGUAAACGGCGGCCGUAACUAUAACGGUCCUAAGGUAGCGAAAUUCCUUGUCGGGUAAGUUCCGACCUGCACGAAUGGCGUAAUGAUGGCCACGCUGUCUCCACCCGAGACUCAGUGAAAUUGAAAUCGCUGUGAAGAUGCAGUGUACCCGCGGCUAGACGGAAAGACCCCGUGAACCUUUACUACAGCUUGGCACUGAACAUUGACCCUACAUGUGUAGGAUAGGUGGGAGGCUUUGAAGCAGGUACGCCAGUAUCUGUGGAGCCGUCCUUGAAAUACCACCCUUGUAGUGUUGAUGUUCUAACGUUGACCCCUUAUCGGGGUUGCGGACAGUGCCUGGUGGGUAGUUUGACUGGGGCGGUCUCCUCCCAAAGAGUAACGGAGGAGCACGAAGGUGGGCUAAUCACGGUUGGACAUCGUGAGGUUAGUGCAAUGGCAUAAGCCCGCUUGACUGCGAGAAUGACAAUUCGAGCAGGUGCGAAAGCAGGUCAUAGUGAUCCGGUGGUUCUGAAUGGAAGGGCCAUCGCUCAACGGAUAAAAGGUACUCCGGGGAUAACAGGCUGAUACCGCCCAAGAGUUCAUAUCGACGGCGGUGUUUGGCACCUCGAUGUCGGCUCAUCACAUCCUGGGGCUGAAGUCGGUCCCAAGGGUAUGGCUGUUCGCCAUUUAAAGUGGUACGCGAGCUGGGUUUAGAACGUCGUGAGACAGUUCGGUCCCUAUCUGCCGUGGGCGUUGGAAGAUUGAAGGGGGCUGCUCCUAGUACGAGAGGACCGGAGUGGACGAACCUCUGGUGUUCGGGUUGUGUCGCCAGACGCAUUGCCCGGUAGCUAAGUUCGGAAUCGAUAACCGCUGAAAGCAUCUAAGCGGGAAGCGAGCCCUGAGAUGAGUCUUCCCUGAUACUUUAAGUAUCCUAAAGGGUUGUCGGAGACUACGACGUUGAUAGGUCAGGUGUGUAAGUGCUGUGAGGCAUUGAGCUAACUGAUACUAAUUGCCCGUGAGGCUUAACCAU
rnacentral:rRNA from 1 species